rnacentral:rRNA from 1 species
CAUUUUUAAGAAAUUAAUAACUCCAUUGAAUUUUAUUAAUCUCUUUUGUGGUGGCAAAAAAUCGGAAGCCCCGACUGUUUACUAAAAACACAGCUAUCUGCAACGAUGUAAAUCAUAGUAUAGGUAGUGAGGUUUGCCCGAUGCCAUUAAUAUAAGAGAAGUGAUGGGUAACUGUUAAUUAUCGAAAAUCUGGUUAAUAGCGGUCUUAACUAUGAGGAUCCUAAGGUAGCAAAAUAAAUUGGCCAUUAAAUGUGGUCCGGUAUCAAUAAUUUAACGAUGGCUUCACUGUCUCUACAACUUGCUCAGUGAAAUUGAAUUACCCGUGCAGAUGCGGG